GUGAGUUCUUCCCCCCAGAUUGACAAGUACGUAAUAAAUAUUCAAAUAUAUAUUGAAACAAAAAGGUUUCUAGUUUUCAUGGCUUUUUGUUUUCAAAAUGGAGAUUCAGCAGAAAUGCCACUGAAAAAAAAUAAGUGCAAUGGUUUUUGGUUAAAGGUUAUAUAGAAUUAGACACUGCCCAGAUUAAGGCCAAUAGAGCUUAAUAGUUUUGUUGUAACAAAUAAAUGUAAAAGUUGAUGUAAGUUGCUGCCAUAAACCAAAAUUAAUAUCAGAGACAUUUUGAUCCUCUAGCGACUUGGCCUGUAAAUUGAGAAGGCCUGGUUAAGUCUUUAAUGACUGACUGUCAAUUUCAGUGAACACUCUGACCAUUUGCUAAGCCAUAUCAACCAAGGGGGAGAGCCCUGCUAACAGAGGAUGAAAGAAUCCACCUCCCGAAUCCAAAUGCUACUGUCAAUUCAAUAUGCCCUGUUAAAUAAGUCAUUUAAAACCCUGCAACUUGUUUUCUUCCAAAAAGAAGUGCCUGUUUUUUUGUUAGGUAUUUUAGUAGGUCAAAGAUAUUGUUGGUGAUCAUCUAAUGCUACAGGUCCAUAAACACAAAAUACACACAAACUUUUUUUUUUUGGUAAAACCAUAAUUUUAAGUACAUAGGAAAUUUAUUGCCAAGAAAUAAAGGUAGUUGAUCAGUUUUCUUGGAGUGACAAGCAGACUCCCCCUACCCUGGAAGUCCUCGAUGAUCGAAUGUGAUGUUUUAAAACUACUUGUAGAACUUCUCUAUUGGCCAAUGGGAUGCACAACAGCACAAGGCAAUGGAUGCCAUUGACCAGGCCAGAGUCACAGGCAGGGACUCAGCUGAGCCCAGGAAACUUACAUCACUCAUGGAAAGAAGAGGUGCGGGUUUGAGGUAUCACUGAAUGCAGUCAUAUCUACUGACUUUUCAGAGUCUCUUCCCAACGUGGGCUACCUUCACUCAUCUUGGUGGACCAGUGCCUUGGAUGUCAGGAUUCUGGAUGGAAUCUCCAAGAGAAAACCUUCAGGGAUUUGGCCAGCUCCCAUGUGACAUUACCUGUAUCAACAAAUAAAGUGGAAGCGAAAAUGGCCUGGGAAAGAUGGUCAUAUGAAGAAUAGGUGAGCAGAGCUCCGGAAAUCCUGGUGUGACUGAGAUCCCACACCGUUUGGGAAAGGAUGAGCGUGACGCUUUGCUUCACCUUACAGGGAUUUCCUACUCCUGUGGUUCAGUGGUAAGUCUGUUUUACUAGAGCUCUUCUCUCUCCCUUUGCCACCCCAUCCUCACCCGACUCUGCUCUCCUCCCCUCUCCACACAUUUUCACUUCCUUGGAUCACUUUAAAAGUGUCUGUUUAGUGUUGUACUGUACUCUCCCAAGUGCUCUGCACAGAGUAAGCACUCAAUAAAUACGAUUA
rnacentral:lncRNA from 1 species